rnacentral:rRNA from 1 species
AGAACGAACGCUGGCGGCAUGCCUAAUACAUGCAAGUCGAACGAACACUUCGGUGUUAGUGGCGCACGGGUGCGUAACGCGUGGGAAUCUGCCCUUGGGUUCGGAAUAACAGUUGGAAACGACUGCUAAUACCGGAUGAUGACGAAAGUCCAAAGAUUUAUCGCCCAGGGAUGAGCCCGCGUAGGAUUAGCUAGUUGGUGAGGUAAAGGCUCACCAAGGCGACGAUCCUUAGCUGGUCUGAGAGGAUGAUCAGCCACACUGGGACUGAGACACGGCCCAGACUCCUACGGGAGGCAGCAGUAGGGAAUAUUGGACAAUGGGCGCAAGCCUGAUCCAGCAAUGCCGCGUGAGUGAUGAAGGCCUUAGGGUUGUAAACCUCUUUCAGCGCCGACGAAGCGAGAGUGACGGUAGGCGCAGAAGAAGCACCGGCCAACUACGUGCCAGCAGCCGC